UCCCUAGUGGCUCAGAUGGUAAAGUAUCUACCUGCAAUGCAGGAGACCUGGGUUCAACCCCUGGGUUGGGAA
rfam:Ovis aries breed Texel chromosome 3, whole genome shotgun sequence.